rnacentral:rRNA from 1 species
GAUGAACGCUGGCGGCGUGCCUAAUACAUGCAAGUCGAGCGAACGGACGAGAAGCUUGCUUCUCUGAUGUUAGCGGCGGACGGGUGAGUAACGCGUGGAUAACCUACCUAUAAGACUGGGAUAACUUCGGGAAACCGUAGCUAAUACCGGAUAAUAUUUUGAACCGCAUGGUUCAAAAGUGAAAGACGGUCUUGCUGUCACUUAUAGAUGGAUCCGCGCUGCAUUAGCUAGUUGGUAAGGUAACGGCUUACCAAGGCAACGAUGCAUAGCCGACCUGAGAGGGUGAUCGGCCACACUGGAACUGAGACACGGUCCAGACUCCUACGGGAGGCAGCAGUAGGGAAUCUUCCGCAAUGGGCGAAAGCCUGACGGAGCAACGCCGCGUGAGUGAUGAAGGUCUUCGGAUCGUAAAACUCUGUUAUUAGGGAAGAACAUAUGUGUAAGUAACUGUGCACAUCUUGACGGUACCUAAUCAGAAAGCCACGGCUAACUACGUGCCAGCAGCCGCGGUAAUACGUAGGUGGCAAGCGUUAUCCGGAAUUAUUGGGCGUAAAGCGCGCGUAGGCGGUUUUUUAAGUCUGAUGUGAAAGCCCACGGCUCAACCGUGGAGGGUCAUUGGAAACUGGAAAACUUGAGUGCAGAAGAGGAAAGUGGAAUUCCAUGUGUAGCGGUGAAAUGCGCAGAGAUAUGGAGGAACACCAGUGGCGAAGGCGACUUUCUGGUCUGUAACUGACGCUGAUGUGCGAAAGCGUGGGGAUCAAACAGGAUUAGAUACCCUGGUAGUCCACGCCGUAAACGAUGAGUGCUAAGUGUUAGGGGGUUUCCGCCCCUUAGUGCUGCAGCUAACGCAUUAAGCACUCCGCCUGGGGAGUACGACCGCAAGGUUGAAACUCAAAGGAAUUGACGGGGACCCGCACAAGCGGUGGAGCAUGUGGUUUAAUUCGAAGCAACGCGAAGAACCUUACCAAAUCUUGACAUCCUUUGACAACUCUAGAGAUAGAGCCUUCCCCUUCGGGGGACAAAGUGACAGGUGGUGCAUGGUUGUCGUCAGCUCGUGUUGUGAGAUGUUGGGUUAAGUCCCGCAACGAGCGCAACCCUUAAGCUUAGUUGCCAUCAUUAAGUUGGGCACUCUAAGUUGACUGCCGGUGACAAACCGGAGGAAGGUGGGGAUGACGUCAAAUCAUCAUGCCCCUUAUGAUUUGGGCUACACACGUGCUACAAUGGACAAUACAAAGGGCAGCGAAACCGCGAGGUCAAGCAAAUCCCAUAAAGUUGUUCUCAGUUCGGAUUGUAGUCUGCAACUCGACUACAUGAAGCUGGAAUCGCUAGUAAUCGUAGAUCAGCAUGCUACGGUGAAUACGUUCCCGGGUCU